rnacentral:misc_RNA from 1 species
GAUGAAGAACGCAGCGAAAUGCGAUACGUAAUGUGAAUUGCAGAAUUCAGUGAAUCAUCGAAUCUUUGAACGCAUAUUGCGCUCUCUGGUAUUCCGGAGAGCAUGCUUGUUUGAGUAUCAGUAAACACCUCAACUUCCAUAUCUUUUUUGAAAUGGGAGUUGGACUUGAGUGAUCCCAACGCUUUUCCUCACCGAAAAGUGGCGGGUUACUUGAAAUGCAGGUGCAGCUGGACUUUUCUCUGAGCGAUAAGCAUAUCUAUUUAGUCUGCCUAAAAAACAGAUUAUUACCUUUGCUGCAGCUAACAUAAAGGAGAUUAGUUCUUGUGCUGACUGAUGCAGGAUUCACAAAAACGGCUUCGGCCGACUUUGUAAACUCGAUCUCAAAUCAAGUAAGACUACCCGCUGAACUUAAGCAUAUCAAUAAGCGGAGGA